rnacentral:rRNA from 1 species
CAUGUCUUAAAGAUUUUAAUUUUAAGUCAAAUCUGCCCAAUGAUUAAAUUAAAUGGCUGCAGUAUUUUUAACUGUACAAAGGUAGCAUAAUAAUUUGUUUUUUAAUUAAAAACUAGAAUGAAAGAUUUAAUGAAAUAAAGUCUGUUUCAAUAAAUUUAAAAUUAAAUUUAUUAUUUAAGUAAAAAAACUUAAAUUUUUUAUAAAGACGAUAAGACCCUAUAGAAUUUUAUUUAUUUUAUUAAAUUUUAAAUUUAAUAAAAUAAAUUUAAUUGGGGUAAUUAAAAAAUUNUAUAAAAUUUUUUUUAAAAAAAUCAUUUAUAAAUGAAUAAUAAAUCUUAAUUUUUAAAUUAAAAAUAUUAAUUACCUUAGGGAUAACAGCAUAAUUUUUUUUGAAAGAUCAUAUUUAUAAAAAAGAUUAUGACCUCGAUGUUGAAUUAAGAUAAAAUUUAAAUGUAAAAAUUUAAAAAUUUAAGUC